UACGUAGGGCGCAAGCGUUGUCCGGAAUUAUUGGGCGUAAAGAGCUCGUAGGCGGUUUGUCGCGUCUGCUGUGAAAACCUAAGGCUCAACCUUGGGCUUGCAGUGGGUACGGGCAGACUAGAGUGCGGUAGGGGUGACUGGAAUUCCUGGUGUAGCGGUGGAAUGCGCAGAUAUCAGGAGGAGCACCGAUGGCGAAGGCAGGUCACUGGGCCGCAAACUGGACGCUGAGGAGCGAAAGCAUGGGGAGCGAACAGG
rnacentral:rRNA from 1 species